UUAUGUGUAAACCUGCAAGACUAUAGUUCACUAAGUAACAACUUAAAAUUCACAUACUGGUGAGAAUAAAAGAUGUGAAGUGGCAUCUCAUGAAACAUUUUUUGUUGUUAUGCUUUCGUCUGAUCUAGAAAAGUUUGUAGUUCAUCAUAAUAUGUGAAUAAAUACAAACAUAUGAGAAUUUAGAAGUACCUAAAGUUAAACAAAAUCGAUCAAAUUUACAUACACACUUACGCAUGCUAGCAAGUGUGAGAUGUCUAGACUAUGAUUCAUAUACCUUUUUAAUAUGUAGUUUUGUAUAAUCAUGCUUAAUAUUACUGAAUAAGAAGUACUUAUGCACUUGGAAUAUUACUGCCUCCUUGACAACAGAAGCUUUAGUAACAUGAGUGAAUAAAUAAUGCACGAUCACCCUUGUUUCCAUGGAAAACUAGAUUCUCUCCUGAUAAGCCUCGGAGGAUGCAAACACGAUUAUGAAUAAAUAAGACUGGUGGACAACUAAUUGUUUUGUUCUCCAGUGUAAUCUAGCACUCUAGAAUAUGAUAUACAUCUAUAGAAAUAAGUACAUAUGGAUAUGCAAACACGAUUAUGGUUUGAACAACUAAAGCAGAAGAUCACCAGCAGAAACCUGCAUAGCAAAAUUAGAGCAUCAGGUUUCCUUCAACAACAAAAAAAGAGAACACUAGCCAUAAAUUUAAUAAAGUAAUUGGUCCACCCAUGGCACAAGUGGAAGGUUAGAGAAGCUAGGGAACCAAAUGCCAAUGGAAUUAUAGAAGCCACAAUGUUGUUAAAUUCGGGGG
rnacentral:lncRNA from 1 species